GUGCCAGCCGCCGCGGUAACACGGGGGGAGCGAACGUUGUUCGGAAUCACUGGGCGUAAAGGGCGUGUAGGCGGUUCGGUAAGUGGGAUGUGAAAGCCCCCGGCUCACCCGGGGAACGUCAUCCCAUACUGCUGGACUUGAGUGCGGGAGAGGAUGGGGGAAUUCCUGGUGUAGCGGUGAAAUGCGUAGAUAUCAGGAGGAACACCGGUGGCGAAGGCGCCCAUCUGGCCCGUUACUGACGCUGAGGCGCGAAAGCUAGGGGAGCAAACGGGAUUAGAAACCCCCGUAGUCC
rnacentral:rRNA from 1 species